CAGACCUUAUCAUUGAUUAUUUAGAUGUGUUUCUUUUCCUUUCCUUAGGCCUUACAACCUGGUGACAUGCCAAGAGAAUGUAAUGGGAUCAGGUGUGAGGAAGAUCCCUAUGUUGAAACCCUAAGCCCCAAUGUGGCUGAAGAUGGAGCCGCUAAAGAAGUCAGCUCAGCCGGGGACCUGGGGAGAGCGGUGCUGCUACUCUGAGCCUGUUCAAGUCACAGCUGUUUACAACCCUAGAAAAUGGAAAGGCUGAAGUACUGUGUCUAAGGAAAAUGCGAAGGCAGACACUUCAUCCAAAGUGCAGCCGAGAGCCUCUCUGGGGGCUUGGAAAGAGGGCUGGGAAGGUUCUGCUUCUGGGUCUCUGUUGGUGGAAAAAAAUCGGGGUUGAGUCCAAUUUUUUCCCCAUAGAUCAAUUCUAUUGUGACACUCUAUCACUUAGAUUAAAAUAAAUACCAUUUGGGACAUUCUAGGGGGAAGAAGCUCCACGGAGGCUAAGGGAAGCACAUUAGCUAGAGAAUCCUACUCAGCCAGAGGCUUCUGUUGUCUUGGGGUCCAGACCAGCCUGUGUGCAGGGGAUUAUGGGUAGAAACCUGCUGUGUUUCUAGAACGUUCUUAGCAUUGAGAGACUGUGUCCUGAGGAAUACUCCCAAGUUAAGCAAGUCCCUUUCUGGCCUCUGCCUCAGUUUCCUAGAGGUACAUUUGCUCCAUUUUCAGGGAGAAUUUCUUACUAAAAUUUUUGCAAAUUAUGUUAUAUCUCUGGAUAAAGUAAUUUGGACUAGAAGUCUGACCAAGAGAAAAAUUAAAUGUCCCACUUCACUGGUUAUUUAAGAAAUGCAAACUGAAACCAUGGGAUGGCAGUCGUACUAGGUAAAUGCAGGGGAGCAAAUUUGCCACGGAAACAUGUAUAUCUUUGGCAUGAGGAUUGUUUUAGGCUGAUUAUCUCGAAGAAGAAGAAGAUUCAGGAAUUCCUUCUUUUACCUCUCCCUUAGCUGCCUAAAGAAUUUAGAUAAAGGGCCUGUUCCCAGAAUAGAGCUACCACCAGAGGUAUCUGCAAAGAAUAUGGGCGGGGUGUGGUGGGAGAGAGAUGGAGUUCACUCUGUGUCCUUUGUCUCUUCAGGGCCUAGCAAACAUUUGUUUAUCAAACAUUUUCUUUUUCAUCUUCAUGUGAAUUGUCUUUCUCCCCUUUGAAGUCCCCAACCACUACCCUCAAUGUCCUCUUUUGUCUUUAGCUGAAGAUGUUAUUUAAG